GACGAACGCUGGCGGCGUGCCUAACACAUGCAAGUCGAGCGGGAAGCUUCUAAUUGAUACUUCGGUUGAUUUUGGAAGUGGAGAGCGGCGGACGGGUGAGUAACGCGUGAGUAACCUGCCCCAUAGAGUGGGAUAACACAGUGAAAAUUGUGCUAAUACCGCAUAAAAUAGUAGAAUCGCAUGGUUUAACUAUCAAAGAUUUAUCGCUAUGGGAUGGACUUGCGUCUGAUUAGCUAGUAGGUGAGGUAACGGCUCACCUAGGCGACGAUCAGUAGCCGAACUGAGAGGUUGAUCGGCCACAUUGGGACUGAGACACGGCCCAGACUCCUACGGGAGGCAGCAGUGGGGAAUAUUGCGCAAUGGGGGCAACCCUGACGCAGCAACGCCGCGUGAAGGAAGAAGGUUUUCGGAUCGUAAACUUUUGUCUUAGGGGACGAUAGUGACGGUACCCUAGGAGGAAGCCACGGCUAACUACGUG
rnacentral:rRNA from 1 species